rnacentral:lncRNA from 1 species
AUGAGUGGCUGGCUGGGAAGAGGUCAGCCGAAGUUGUGCAGGGCAAGCCUGAACAUGUCAUUGGUGCAAACCCAAGCAUCAUUGAUGUUCUUUAAUAGGAACAUCUGGUGGAACCCCAUGAUGGGGUCUUCAUCAGCCUUGAGCUGGUCCUGUGCCGUGAUGCUGUGCUGGAUUUUCUGGAACAGAAGGCUAGACGACUUCUCCCCAAUGGCAGCUUUCCCCUGGAACUGCUGUCCUUCCCACAUAACGCAUGAUGCAUCAAUAUAAAUUGCACCUAGUUGGGUUCUGUCGUUAUAAAAUAACUGGUAGUAAUGCUGAAUGAAGGUGGAUCCAAUCUGCUCCCAAACUGGCUUGUCUCCCAUUCAGGAGCAUCACCCGGCCUCGUUGAGACUUGAGGGGCUGGCAUGAUAGCGGCAGCGGUGGGCGGCGGCCUAUUAUUCUCAUUUUAAAAUGUAGGUAUGAAAGAGAAACAGAUGUGACUGACUCCAGAAAAAGUACCAAGUCUCAACCUCUAUGCCUUGAGGUUGCAUUGAGGAGGGUUUGAGGCAAGACUGAAAUAUAGUCCUAAAGUAUAAUUAGAAUCAGUACAGACUAAAUUGGGGAGGGCAGCCCGGGUGGAUCCGUGGUUUAGCGCCGCCUUCAGCCCAGGACCUGAUCCUGGAGACUCGGGAUCGAAUCCCACGUAGGGCUCCCUACAUGGAGCCUACUUCUCUGCCUGUGUCUCUGCCUCUCUCUCUCUCUCUCUCUCUCUCUGUGUGUCUCAUGAAUAAAUAAAUAAAAUCUUUAAAAAAAACAAACAAACGUAGGGAUCCCUGGGUGGCGCAGCGGUUUGGCGCCUGCCUUUGGCCCAGGGCGCGAUCCUGGAGACUCGGGAUCGAAUCCCACGUCGGGCUCCCGGUGCAUGGAGCCUGCUUCUCCCUCUGCCUGUGUCUCUGCCUCUCUCUCUGUCUGUGACUAUAAUAAAUAAAUAAAUAAAUAAAUAAAUAAAUAAAUAAAUAAAUAUUAAAAAAAAAAAAAAACCUAAAUUGGGGAAAGGGGAUCUGAUAAGGCUGAAGACAAAGUAGGGAAGAAGGUAUACCAGAAACAUGGUUCAAUUCACCUUGAGAAGACAGAUGUUGGAAUGGGUAGAAUUAUACAGGCAGGAGAACCCAGGUUGUUAAUGCACAUGCUUGCAUCUGACUCUUAGCUUCUCUACUUAGUAUUUACAGAACUCUUCAAGUGACUUAACCUUUCUGUGUACUACAUGUUUGCCAACGUCAUAGGGCUUUAUGGAGAUUAAUAUGAGCAUGUAUAGAAAGACAGUAUCUGACAUAGGGUUACCAUUAUUCGUGUUUGGCAAUUUUAUUAUUAUUAGCAUUAGUACUACUUUAAAAAUUGCACUCAUUCAAUUUAUAGAUUUUGGUAUAUUAAUCAAAAACCUUAUCUUAUUUUUAUAUUUGUUCUUCUUUUGCCCUAAGUCUCUAUGAUGUAGAUUAAAUGCAUUCUGGAUUUAAAAAAUUAUUUUAGUGGAUGCCUGGGUGUCUCAGUGGUUGAGCACCUCCUUUUGGUCCAGGGUGUGAUCGUGGAGUCCCAGGAUCAAGUCCCACACGAACUCUCUGCAUGGAGCCUGCUUCUCCCUCUGCUUGUCUCUGCCUCUCUGUGUCUCUCAUGAAUAAAUAAAUAAAAUCUUUAAAAAAUUAUUUUAGGGCUAUCUAUUUUAAUGUUCAGAUUUUAGUGUGAGAAAAUCAGGCUCAAAUAGGUGAAUGAUUUGGCUAUAGCCACAUAAUGUUAUGUGUCUGUAUUCAAGCCUCAGCUUGUGAUGAUUGGAAAGAGCAGAAGUAGUAUAUCUAUACCUUAUAGAUAGCAAACCAAAACUCUAGCAGUCAUAGAUUCUUAAUUUUUUUUUUGUAAAGGUCUUAUUUCAAGUAUCUGUUCUGUUAUAAGCCUGGCUAUAAUGUUCUAUGUCUGAUCAAGGCUAUAGGCCGCAACUUUAAAAUUAAUUUGGAAGGUUGUUAGUUUUACUUCCCCCUCCUCUCAUUAUUUGCUGUGUACAAAUAGCUGCUUUGAUGAGUGUGCUUGUCCAGUUGGUCUCAGUGACAU